CACGUAGGGCGCAAGCGUUGUCCGGAAUUAUUGGGCGUAAAGAGCUCGUAGGCGGUCUGUUGCGUCCGCUGUGAAAACUCGGGGCUUAACCCCGAGCCUGCAGUGGAUACGGGCAGACUAGAGGUAGGUAGGGGAGAAUGGAAUUCACGGUGUAGCAGUGAAAUGCGUAGAUAUCGUGAGGAAGACCGGUGGCGAAGGCGGAUCUCUGGACAGUUCCUGACGCUGAGGCGCGAAGGCCAGGGGAGCAAACGGG
rnacentral:rRNA from 1 species